AGGGACGUGUCGACCUGCAGCUCGGUGCUAGUAGUUGUGACGCGCUGUGGCUGCGGCUGACGACAGUCAAUAUCGCCGUUUGUUUUGUUCAAUCACAACAAUAUCAGCCUGCAGACAUGUCGAAUGUGCGGCUGUUCAGCGCGGCGACACUGCGGCGUCAUUACGCCCUGCUGCCCCUCGUCGGCAUGCUGGCCGCGGCCGUGACCGGUGCCGUGGCCUUCUCCGUGCGGACGGCCGUCAGGGCGCCGGAGGUGGCGUACCGCAGGUCCGACGCUGCGCCAUGGGAGAGCUACCGCCAUCGGAGCUACAAACUCUACAACCCCAGCGGCCUGCGUCGUGACCAGUGCCCGGCGCCAAGGUUUUGAAAGCUCACGAGCGGUGACGGCGCCGCGUGUUGGCUGCCGACAGCAACCAGCGUCUCGGCCAUCGACACCGGCGUGAUUGUGCCCGGGCAGAGACGACAUUGUGCCAGGGCAGAGACCAAAUUUACAUAAUGUGUAGAGUGAUUCGAAAACUAAAUUGUGUUGCAUAACGGCGCUGUAACUUGUAUUGUAUUUUUAGUUUUGUAUUGUGAAUUGUUCUGCAUGACACUGUAACGUGUAUUGUAUCAUCGAUAUUGUAUUGUGAAUUUGCUUCGCAAUGUGUUAUCUUAGUACAAAUGGAACCCUUCAUUUGAGUUUUGUAAUAAAGCUCAAAGUGCUG